rnacentral:tRNA from 1 species
AGAAUCCUCCAUAAAAAGCUUCUAACUUUUAAUAAAGCAUUAACAUGUUUAUGAUUCUU